rnacentral:rRNA from 1 species
CUACGGGACGCAGCAGUGAGGAAUAUUGCGCAAUGGGGGGAACCCUGAUGCAGCAACGCCGCGUGGAGGAUGACGCAUUUCGGUGUGUAAACUCCUUUUAUAUGUCAAGAAAAUGACGGUAGCAUAUGAAUAAGCACCGGCUAACUCCGUGCCAGCAGCCGCGGUAAUACGGAGGGUGCAAGCGUUACUCGGAAUCACUGGGCGUAAAGGACGCGUAGGCGGGUUGGAAAGUCAGGUGUGAAAUCCUACAGCUUAACUGUAGAACUGCACUGGAAACUUCUAAUCUAGAGUAUGGGAGGGGGAGAUGGAAUUCGUGGUGUAGGGGUAAAAUCCGUAGAUAUCACUAGGAAUACCUAAAGCGAAGGCGAUCUCCUGGAACAUUACUGACGCUAAGGCGUGAAAGCGUGGGGAGCAAACAGGAUUAGAUACCCCAGUAGUC